rnacentral:rRNA from 1 species
GACGUAGGGCGCGAGCGUUUGUCCGGAUUUAUUGGGCGUAAAGAGCUCGUAGGCGGCUUGUCGCGUCGACCGUGAAAAACUUGGGGGCUCAACCCCCAAGCCUGCGGUCGAUACGGGCAGGCUCGAGUUCGGUAGGGGAGACUGGAAUUCCUGGUGUAGCGGUGAAAUGCGCAGAUAUCAGGAGGAACACCGAUGGGCGAAGGCAGGUCUCUGGGCCGAUACUGACGCUGAGGAGCGAAAGCGUGGGGAGCGAACAGG